rnacentral:tRNA from 2 species
CUAAAAUCCGUUGGCUUUAUUGACCGUGAGGGUUCAAGUCCCUCUACCCCCA